UGCACAGCCAUAUCUGACAGGAUAAAUGUGUUGUAUUAUACAGAUAAAAGAGAGAGUGCGUAGCAGCUAAAUAAAGCAGAGAACAAGCCCGUCUCAGGACAUCAGUCCAAAGAAGAGGAUCUACCGGCAAAGAGAUAAGAGGGGGAGGACAGGGAACAAAAGAGAGAGUUGGAGGACAAGAGAGAGAGAGAGAAAAUGGGAUAUUGCGGCAUGUGGAUCUUCCUCUUGUCCCUGUCUCUCUUCUUACAAAGCGUCACUGCAGAGGCUGAAGUAUGUCGUACAGCCAUGCCUGCUGAUAUUGUGUUCCUGGUGGAUGAUUCCUGGUCAGUGGGUCCGACCAGCUUCCAGCAGAUCAAAGAGUUCAUAGCGGACAUCAUCC
rnacentral:lncRNA from 1 species